CUGCAGCCCCUGAGGAAGCAAGGAGGCGUCGGCUGAGGCGGGCGCACCGGCGAGGCGGCGGCUCCAGGCCCCGAGGGACUCGAGAGUUCGGGCAGCGGCAGUACCUCUUGCCCUCGGAGGCGGCGGGCGGCGGCGGCGGGAGCGGUGGUGCCCCCCGGGCACGGGGCCAUGUACAACGGGAUCGGGCUGCCGACGCCCCGGGGCAGCGGCACCAACGGCUACGUCCAGCGCAACCUGUCCCUGGUGCGGGGCCGCCGGGGUGAGCGGCCUGACUACAAGGGAGAGGAGGAACUGCGGCGCCUGGAGGCUGCCCUGGUGAAGCGGCCUAAUCCUGACAUCCUGGACCACGAGCGCAAGCGGCGCGUGGAGCUGCGAUGCCUCGAGCUGGAGGAAAUGAUGGAAGAGCAGGGGUACGAGGAACAGCAAAUUCAAGAAAAAGUGGCGACCUUUCGACUCAUGCUGCUGGAGAAGGAUGUGAACCCUGGGGGCAAGGAGGAUACCCCAGGGCAGAGGCCAGCGGUAACUGAGACUCAUCAGUUGGCAGAGUUGAACGAGAAGAAGAAUGAGCGGCUCCGUGCAGCUUUUGGCAUCAGUGACUCCUAUGUGGAUGGCAGCUCUUUCGAUCCUCAGCGUCGUGCUCGAGAGGCCAAACAGCCAGCCCCUGAGCCUCCCAAACCAUAUAGUCUUGUCCGGGAGUCCAGCAGUUCUCGUUCACCAACCCCAAAGCAAAAGAAGAAGAAAAAGAAGAAAGAUAGAGGACGCAGGUCAGAGAGUAGCUCUCCUCGGCGGGAGAGGAAGAAGAGCUCGAAGAAGAAGAAGCACAGGUCAGAGUCCGAGUCCAAGAAACGGAAGCAUAGGUCUCCCACUCCAAAGAGCAAACGUAAAUCUAAGGACAAGAAGCGGAAGCGGUCUCGAAGUACAACACCAGCCCCCAAGAGCCGCCGAGCCCACCGUUCAACUUCUGCUGACUCGGCUUCCUCCUCCGAUACCUCCCGCAGUCGAUCACGAAGCGCUGCAGCUAAAACUCGGACAGCUGCCUUGACUGGGCGAAGUCCUUCCCCUCCUUCAGGGCGUCGAGGGGAGGGAGACGUGCCUUCCAGGGAAUCAGGUACCACCAACACAGGGCGGCCCAGCAGCCCGGAAUCCUCUACAAGGCAGCCUGGCAGCCCUUAUGAAGACAAAGACAAGACAGAGAAAUCUGCAGCUCGGCCUAGUCCCUCUCCGGAGAGGAGCAGCACAGGCCCAGAACCACCUGCUCCCACUCCGCUCCUUGCUGAGCAACAUGGCGGCUCCCCACAACCCCUUGCAACAACCCCCUUAAGUCAGGAGCCAGUGAACCCCCCAUCCGAGGCCUCCCCAACCCGAGGCCGUUCACCACCUAAGUCUCCUGAGAAACCUCCCCAGUCUCCCUCCUCGGAGAGCUGCCCACCAUCCCCUCAACCUACCAAAAUUUCUCGGCAUGCCAGCUCUUCCCCUGAAAGUCCUAAACCUGCACCAGCUCCUGGGUCCCGCCGAGAGAUUUCUUCUUCUCCUACAUCCAAGAGUCGGUCACAUGGCCGAGCAAAGCGAGAUAAAUCACAUUCUCAUACCCCUUCUCGUAGGAUGGGGAGGUCCCGUAGUCCUGUCACCACCAAGAGAGGGCGAUCCCGGUCUCGGACCCCUACCAAAAGAGGUCAUUCUCGGUCCCGGUCCCCUCAGUGGCGUAGGUCCCGGUCCGCACAGAGGUGGGGACGAUCUAGAAGCCCCCAGCGACGUGGCCGUUCUAGAUCUCCUCAGCGACCAGGCUGGUCCAGAAGCAGAAAUACCCAGAGAAGAGGCAGGUCUCGGUCAGCACGGCGAGGCAGGUCACACUCAAGAUCCCCAGCCGCUAGGGGCAGAUCUCGUUCAAGAACACCGGCCCGGAGGGGCAGGUCCCGCUCCCGAACACCUGCCAGGCGGAGGUCUCGCUCCAGAACACCCACCAGACGUAGGUCCCGUUCAAGAACACCGGCCCGGAGGGGCAGGUCCCGUUCGAGAACGCCUGCUAGGCGUAGAUCUAGAACCCGAUCGCCGUUACGGCGGAGGUCUCGUAGUAGAUCACAGGCCAGGAGAAGUGGCAGGUCACGCUCUAGAACCCCAGCCAGACGUGGCAGGUCGCGCUCUAGGACACCAGCUAGACGCAGUGUUAGGUCGCGCUCUAGGACACCAGCCAGGAGGGGGAGGUCUCGGUCUAGGACACCAACCAGGAGGGGGAGGUCUCGGUCUAGGACACCAGCCAGGAGAGGGAGAUCCCGUAGUAGAAGUCUGGUUAGACGAGGCAGAUCUCACUCUAGAACACCACAAAGAAGAGGCAGGUCUGGCUCGUCAUCAGAGCGGAAGAACAAGUCCAGAACGUCUCAGAGAAGGAGCAGGUCUAGCUCAAGCCCAGAAAUGAAAAAAUCACAUGUUUCUUCAAGGCGUAGCAGGUCUCUUUCUUCACCAAGAUCCAAAGCAAAGUCUCGCUUGUCUUUGAGGCGAAGCCUUUCAAGGUCCUCUCCAGGCCCUAAACAGAAGUCUCUAUCACCACCCAGACGCAGUCGCUCUGGAUCAUCUCAACCUAAAGCAAAAUCCAAAACGCCAACAAGGCACAGUUGCUUGGGUUCCCCACUUCCUAAACAGAAAUCUAAAACACCAUCAAGGCAAAGUCCUUCUGGUUUAUCUCCUCGCCCUAAAGUGAAACCUGGAACGCCACCAAGGCUAGGGUCUGUAACAAGUCCCCAGACAAAUGAACAAUCUGUAACACCACAGAGACGAAGCCGAUCUGGAUCAACUCCUCGUCCUAUUGUGAAGUCUACACCACCAAGGCGUAGCCGUUCCAGAUCAUCACCUGAUCCUGAGGUGAAAUCUAGCACACCCCCCAGACAGAGCCGAUCUGGGUCGUCUUCUCCACAACCCAAAGUGAAAGCAGUCACUUCGCCGAGGCAGAGCCAUUCUGGCUCAUCUUCUCCAAGUCCUAGUAGAGUGACUUGUAGAACACCUUCAAGGCAAAGCAGAUUGGAGUCUCCCCACUCCAAAGUGGAAUCUAGAUUGUUGUCAAGACAUAGCCAUUCUGGGUCCUCCUCACCAGACACCAAAGUGAAACCUGGAACGCCACCAAGACAGAGUCACUCAGGGUCUACUUCACCAUGCCCCAAAGUAAAGCCCCAAAUUCAACCAGGGCAAAGUCUCUCUGGGUCAAAGUCACCAAGUCCUCAAGAGAAGUCUAAGGACUCUCCAGCACAAAGUUACUCUGAAUCCUCUCCAUGUCCAGGAGUAAAAUCUAGCAUACCACCAGAAGAGAGCUACUUAGGUUCCUUGUCUCUGCAACAGAAAGGACAAUCUCAGAUUUCACCAGAUCACAGAUCUGAUGCUUCAAGUCCAGAAAUGAGACAGGGUUAUUCUGGAUCACCGUCUCUUCAAAGCAGAUCUCAGACAUCUCCUAAGGGCAGCCAUUCCAGGUCCUCUUCUCCAAUCACUGAUCUGGCACCCAGUCAAAAUAGAAGUGAAUCAUCAGCAAGUCCCAGGCUGAGAUCAGGUCUGUCUCCCGAGCAGAGUAGGUGCCAGUCCGACUCUUACCUUUAUCCUGGAAUGUACUCUAAUGCUCAUCAGCAAAGUGUAUCAGAGUCUUUUCCAGGAUCAAAAGAGAAAACAAGCUUACCCUCUCAGGAGGAUGUUACUGCAUCAUCUCCCAUACCAGAAGACAAAUUUAGUCCUCCAGAGCAGGAUAGGCCUGAGUCCUCACCAGUAUUUAAAGACAUGGCUAGAACUCCAUCAAGGGAAAGAAGUGGCUAUGGGUCCUCUCCAGAUACAAAAGAUCCAAGUUGUGUGUUAGCUAAAUCAAGCCAAGAUGAGGAAUUGAUGGAGGCGGUAGAGAAAUCAGAAGAACAUUCGAACCAGGUCCUGCCCUGUUUAUCUCCAGAACUUAAAGAAAUGGCUGGAAGGACCUUUGAGUCAUGCCCUGAAUUAGAAGAAAGCCCUGCUGUGCCUGUAACUCUUGACCAGAAGCAGUCACAAGCUUUUCUGGAGGCGGCAGAAGUCCCUACAGUGGUCUCAGCUUGGAGUGGGUCACAUUUGUCUCCAGAACAUAAAGAACUAUCUAACUCCCCUCCCAGGGAGAAUAACUUCGAAUUACCUUUAGAAUUUAGAAAUUCAAGGCCUGUUACAGAAACGGUGACUACUGGGUUUUUUCCUGAGGUUAAAGAAGAAUUGAAUGGGCCUUUCCUUAAUCAGCUGGAGGCAGACACAACUCUAGAUGUGAAAGAACAAUCGAGAUCCUCCAGACGCAGCAGUUCUGAGUUAUCCCCAGAUGCAGUGGAAAAGGCAGGGAUGUCUUCAAAUCAGAGCAUUUCUUCACCUGUACUUGAUGCUGUACCAAGAACACCUUCGAGGGAAAGAAGUAGUUCUGCAUCUUCUCCUGAACUGAAAGACGGUUUACCCAGAACCCCAUCGAGGAGAAGCAGGUCUGAAUCUUCUCCAGGACUUAGGGAUGGGUCCAGAACUCCUUCAAGGCACAGCCUAUGUGGGUCCUCUCCUGGAGUAAAAGAUAUACCUAGAACCCCAUCCAGGGGGAGAAGUGAAUGUGAUUCUUCUCCGGAACCAAAAGCUUUGCCUCAGACUCCUCGGCCAAGGAGUCGUUCUCUGUCAUCCCCAGAGCUCAACAAGUGUCUCAGCCCCCAGAGAGAAAGAAGUGGGUCAGAAUCAUCAGUUGAACGAAAGACGGUGGCUAGGACUCCCCUUGGGCAGAGAAGUCGAUCUGGAUCUUUUCAAGAACUUGAUGGGAAACCCAGUGCAUCCCCUCAGGAAAGAAGUGAAACAGACUCUUCCCCAGAUUCUAAAGACAAGUUACGAACCCCACUUCGGCAGAGGAGUCACUCUGGAUCGUCUCCAGAGGUUGACGGCAAGUCUCGGCCUUCCCCUCGACGUAGCCGGUCUGGCUCGUCUCCUGAAGUUAAAGAUAAGCCAAGAGUGGCACCCAGGACACAGAGUGGUUCUGAUUCUUCACCUGAACCCAAAGCUCCUGUUCCUCGGGCUCUUCCCAGAAGAAGCAGGUCAGGUUCAUCGAGCAAAGGGAGAGGCCCUUCCCCUGAAGGAAGCAGCAGUUCUGAGUCUUCUCCAGAACACCCUCCCAAAUCCAGAGCUGCUCGAAGAAGCUCCAGGUCAUCACCAGAGCCCAAGAUACGCACUCCACCUCGCCGUCGUAGCUCUCGAUCCUCUCCUGAGCUGAUUAGGAAGGCCAGACCCUCCCGCAGAAGCCGUUCUGCCUCAUCCUCACCAGAGACCCACUCAAGAACCCCCCCCAGACGCCGAAGAAGUCCCUCGGUAUCUUCUCCGGAGCCAGCUGAAAAGUCAAGGUCCUCACGCCGGCGGCGUUCAGUUUCAUCUCCACGCACGAAGACGACUUCGAGGAGAGGCCGUUCUCCUUCACCAAAGCCUCGUGGACUCCAGAGGUCCCGUUCCCGCUCAAGGAGGGAGAAAACCAGAACAACCCGUCGUCGAGAUCGGUCUGGAUCGUCUCAGUCAACUUCUCGGAGAAGACAGCGAAGCCGAUCGAGGUCUCGGGUUACUCGUCGGCGGAGAGGAGGCUCUGGUUACCACUCAAGGUCACCUGCCCGGCAGGACAGUUCCCGAACCUCCUCUCGACGUCGCAGAGGCCGCUCUCGAACACCCCCAGCCAACCGGAAGCGUUCCCGCUCCCGCACAUCUCCAGCCCCGUGGAAACGCUCCAGAUCUCGUGCUUCUCCGGCAACUCACCGGCGAUCUAGGUCCAGAACACCCCUGGUCAGCCGACGGAGGUCCAGGUCUCGAACUUCACCAGUCAGCCGGAGACGGUCAAGGUCCAGGACGUCAGUGACUCGACGACGGUCACGGUCUCGGGCAUCCCCAGUGAGUCGAAGGCGAUCCAGGUCCAGAACACCACCUGUGACCCGCCGUCGUUCGAGGUCUAGAACUCCGGCAACGCGCCGUCGCUCUCGUUCUAGAACCCCACCAGUGACGCGCAGGAGGUCCAGAUCCAGGACUCCACCAGUGACCAGGAGGCGAUCUCGAAGCAGAACCUCACCUGUCACUCGCAGAAGAUCAAGAUCCAGAACGUCCCCGGUUACCCGGAGGAGGUCCCGCUCUCGCACGUCUCCAGUAACUCGAAGGAGGUCCCGGUCUCGAACCUCCCCAGUGACUCGCCGCAGAUCGAGGUCUCGAACGCCUCCAGUGAUUCGCCGCCGCUCAAGGUCCCGAACACCACUGUUGCCACGCAAACGUUCCCGCAGCCGCACGCCACUUGUUAUCCGUCGCCGUUCUCGGUCCCGUACUCCACGGGCAACAAGGAGCAAACGGUCCUUAACAAGGUCUCCUCCAGCUAUCCGGAGGCGUUCUGCAUCUGGAAGUAGUUCUGAUCGUUCACGUUCUGCUACUCCUCCAGCAACGAGAAACCAUUCUGGUUCUCGGACACCUCCGAUGGCUCUCAAUAGCUCUAGGAUGAGCUGCUUCAGUCGCCCUAGCAUGUCACCAACUCCUCUCGACCGCUGUCGAUCACCUGGGAUGCUCGAACCCCUUGGCAGCUCUAGAACACCAAUGUCUGUCCUGCAGCAAGCCGGUGGUUCCAUGAUGGAUGGGCCUCGAAUUCCUGACCACCCGAGAACAUCAUCUGUCCCAGAAAACCAUGCUCAAUCUAGAAUUGCCCUUGCCCUGACGGCCAUCAGUCUCGGCACUGCUCGGCCUCCUCCAUCCAUGUCUGCUGCCAGCCUGGCUGCAAGGAUGUCCCAGGUUCCAGCUCCGGUGCCUCUCAUGAGUCUCAGAACAGCUCCAGCUGCCAGCCUUGCCAGCAGGAUUCCUGCAGCCUCUGCAGCAGCCAUGAACCUGGCCAGUGCCAGGACACCUGCCAUUCCUCCCGCAGUGAACCUAGCAGACUCGCGAACCCCAGCCGCAGCUGCUGCAGCCAUGAACUUGGCCAGCCCCAGAACAGCAGUGGCACCCUCAGCGGUGAACCUAGCUGACCCUCGCACCCCCACAGCCCCUGCUGUGAACCUAGCAGGAGCCAGAACCCCAGCUGCUCUGGCAGCUUUGAGUCUCACAGGCUCCGGCACACCCCCGACUGCUGCAAACUAUCCCUCGAGCUCCAGAACACCUCAAGCUCCAGCACCUGCCAACCUGGUGGGUCCUAGGUCCACACAUGCUGCAGCUCCUGUGAACAUUGCCAGCUCAAGAACCCCUCCAGCCUUGGCCCCUGCAAGCCUCACCAGUGCUAGGAUGACUCCAGCAUUGUCGGGUGCAAACCUUACCAGCCCCAGGGUGCCCUUGUCUGCCUACGAGCGUGUUAGUGGCAGAACCUCACCACCUCUCCUUGACCGAGCCAGGUCCAGAACCCCACCAUCUGCCCCAAGCCAGUCCAGAAUGGCUUCUGAGCGAGCUCCCUCUCCUGCCUCUAGAAUGGUCCUGGUUUCCUCUCAGUCUGUCCAUCUGCCAGCUCAGGAUCGGCCUAGGUCCCCUGUGCCUCCUGCUUUUUCAGACCAAUCCCGUUCUUUGUCUGCCCAGGCUACCCCUGGAGCAGGAUCUCAGUCCCUUUCCUCAGGGACAGUGGCCAAGGCCACGUCCUCCGGUGACCACAAUGGCAUGCUCUCUGGCCCUGCCCCUGGGGUGUUCCCUUCUGAGGAUGGGGAACCACCUGUCUCCACUGGGGCCCAGCAAUUGCCCGCAUUGGCCAAGGAACGGCGGAGUUCCUCCUCGUCGUCUUCAUCGUCUAGCUCUUCGUCAUCAUCGUCAUCGUCGUCGUCCUCCUCUUCCUCCUCUGGCUCCAGUUCUAGCGAUUCGGAGGGCUCUAGCCUUCCUGCUCAACCCGAGGUGGCCCUGAAGAGGGUCCCCAGCCCUACCCCAAUCCCAAAGGAGGCUGUUCGAGAGGGCCGUCCUCUGGAGCCAACCCCAGCCAAGCGGAAGAGGCACUCUAGCAGUUCCAGCUCCAGCUCCUCCUCUUCAUCUUCAUCUUCAUCAUCCUCCUCUUCAUCUUCUUCCUCUUCAUCCUCCUCUUCCUCCUCGUCGUCCUCUUCUUCCUCCUCCUCUUCCUCCCCUUCCCCUGCUAAGCCUGGCCCUCAGGCCUUGCCCAAACCUGCAAGCCCCAAGAAGCCACCCCCUGGCGAGAGGAGCCUCCUCCCUGUUUCCCCGUCUCCAUGCCAUUCUCUUCCACAUGUAGCCAGAGGGAUCUUUCUAAAUGCACAUCUGGCUACUUCCCUCCACUCCACAAAUCCUUCUGGGACGCCCUGUGGCCUGCAGGAUAAGGCCCCACCUCUGCGGGAAUGGCGUGUGAGGCUCUUCACCAACUGGCCUUGCCUGCCCUUGUGUUCUCCUCUCCUGCCCGCCCCCACACACGCUCUGUGCUCCAGCCACACCCAACGCCUUGCAGUCUAAGGAAACCGCCAUGCUCUCGGGGCCCCCAUGCCUUUGGACAUGCUGUUCCUUCUGCCUGGAAUUCCCUUGUCCGCCUGGUGAACUCCUCGUUCUGCAAGACUCUGCUCAAACAGCACCUUCAAGAAGACUCCCCUGACCCGCCCCGCCCCCUGGCCCAUCCUGGGUCCCCCAGACCCAAGUUCCCCCUCCCUGUGGGGGCUGCUCCCCCUCGGUGCAGCGAGUGCUGCACUUGCUGGCCUGCCUUCACCCCCAGUCCCAGCUCCUCCAGGCAGGGCCUGUGCUUGUCUUUCGUCCCCCGCUGCACCCUGUGCCCUGCCCACCCGUGGGGGACACGGUGGAUGGUGUGCGGGCGGAUGGGUGAGUGAGCGGACAAAGGUGGGUCUGAGGCUGGCCCUGUGUGGUACGAGGUGUGGUGGUCAGGACCUGGGGGGUGGUCCUGAGUGCUGGCUGGUGGGUUUGGAAGGACGUGGCGCCAUGGGCACAUGCUCUGCUCCCUCAGGUCCCGCAGUCCCCGGAAGCCAAUAGACUCUCUCCGGGACUCCCGCUCCCUCAGCUAUUCACCUGCGGAACGUCGCCGCCCCUCACCCCAGCCCUCGCCUCGGGACCAGCAGAGUGGUGAACGGGGUUCCCGGAGAGGCCAGCAUGGAGA